rnacentral:rRNA from 1 species
UACGUAGGGCGCAAGCGUUGUCCGGAAUUAUUGGGCGUAAAGAGCUCGUAGGCGGUUUGUUGCGUCGGCUGUGAAAUCCCGAGGCUCAACCUCGGGUCUGCAGUCGAUACGAGCAAACUAGAGUGUUGCAGGGGAGACUGGAAUUCCUGGUGUAGCGGUGAAAUGCGCAGAUAUCAGGAGGAACACCGGUGGCGAAGGCGGGUCUCUGGGCAACAACGUGACGUGGAGGAAGCGAAAGCGUGGGGAGCGAACAGG